rnacentral:lncRNA from 1 species
GGAGAAUUGUUACAGAGCAAUGCUAGAUGAAGGAGCUGAGGCUGGAGAAGUUAAGAGACCCCUGCUAGAUAGGAAGGCACGUGAGAAGUAUACUGCUCUGUCUCCUGUGGAGUAAAAAGACUUUGGCGUUCUCAGAAGAAAACCAAAUGAGAUCACACGAAUGAGACUGCUGGCUGAAAUCUUUCAGAGACAAGGUUCAAGAGAGCAAGCAAAACAUUGCACGACAAUGAACAGAUCAAGGUAGCCACUCCCAGUCAAGGACUGUAUGAGUUGCCCAGAGCAAGACCUUUUAGGAUA